rnacentral:rRNA from 1 species
GGUGAACGCUGGCGGCGUGCUUAAGACAUGCAAGUCGAACGGCAGUCUUCGGACUGUAGUGGCGCACGGGUGAGUAACGCGUAACUGACCUACCCCAAAGUCGCGGAUAACGAUUCGAAAGAAUCGCUAAUACGUGAUGUGCUGUCAGAUUGUGUUCUGCCAGUAAAGAUUGAUUGCUUUGGGAUGGGGUUGCGUUCCAUCAGCUAGUUGGUGGGGUAACGGCCCACCAAGGCGACGACGGAUAGCCGGCCUGAGAGGGUGGCCGGCCACAGGGGCACUGAUACACGGGUCCCACUCCUACGGGAGGCAGCAGUUAGGAAUCUUCCACAAUGGGCGAAAGCCUGAUGGAGCGACGCCGCGUGAGGGAUGAAGGUCUUCGGAUCGUAAACCUUUGAAUCAGGGACGAAAGACACUUCGGUGGGAUGACGGUACCUGAGUAAUAGCACCGGCUAACUCCGUGCCAGCCGCCGCAGUAAAAC